rnacentral:rRNA from 1 species
GACGAACGCUGGCGGCGUGCUUAACACAUGCAAGUCGAACGGAAAGGCCCUGCUUUUGUGGGGUGCUCGAGUGGCGAUCGGGUGAGUAACACGUGAGUAACCUGCCCUUGACUUUGGGAUAACUUCAGGAAACUGGGGCUAAUACCGGAUAGGAGCUCCUGCUGCAUGGUGGGGGUUGGAAAGUUUCGGCGGUUGGGGAUGGACUCGCGGCUUAUCAGCUUGUUGGUGGGGUAGUGGCUUACCAAGGCUUUGACGGGUAGCCGGCCUGAGAGGGUGACCGGCCACAAUGGUACUGAGAUACGGCGCAGACUCCUACGGGAGGCAGCAGUGGGGAAUAUUGCACAAUGGGCGGAAGCCUGAUGCAGCAACGCCGCGUGCGUGAUGACGGCCUUCGGGGUGUAAACCGCUUUCGCCUGUGACGAAGCGUGAGUGACGGUAAUGGGUAAAGAAGCACCGGCUAACUACGUG